rnacentral:lncRNA from 1 species
GAAACGUCCGAAAUCUGCUCUGAAACUUCGUCCCAGCUGAGUGCAACUUUCGUUCCAACCAGCUCCACGUUCGUUGUGGAGAUGGGACGAGAGCCGGACAAAUUCGUUUCGUCUCAAAUAUUAGCCUCAUAGUAUCCUGGGCGUUGUGUCUCUAGAAAGGACAAUUCUCGAGUGAAGGUGGAGGUCCAAAUGCAUUUCUCGACUGCGACGGACAACUGCCGUGGCUCAGGUCACGAGGCCAUUGAUGCUGGUUCCGGAGCUGUUUGAUAGUAACUGCAAAGUCUUAAGUCUCUGUAGACUGUAGAAUUGAGCUUUUCAGAACCACGUACCAGAAAAAGCUCCUUCAAAAAUUGUCGUAUGCUUCCAAGAUACUGCCACUGCUUAGCUUGGUCUUGGUUGCCGUCAUAUCCUGCUGCUCAGAGUCUCUCUGAAUUGCAUCCUUUAGUGAGAUGUUAAAUAUGUCACGAUAUCUUGGAGGAAUCCACUGUUCAAUCUGUCGUAACCUAUCCAUUCACACCUCAUGAUGGUAAAAAAGUUUUUAUUGACACAUUACC